CCUACAGGGGGGCAGCAGUGGGGAAUAUUGGACAAUGGGGGGAACCCUGAUCCAGCCAUGCCGCGUGUGUGAAGAAGGCCCUCGGGUUGUAAAGCACUUUCAGUGAGGAAGAACGCCUGGUGGUUAAUACCCAUCAGGAAAGACAUCACUCACAGAAGAAGCACCGGCUAACUCCGUGCCAGCAGCCGCGGUAAUACGGAGGGUGCGAGCGUUAAUCGGAAUUACUGGGCGUAAAGCGCGCGUAGGUGGCUUGAUAAGCCGGUUGUGAAAGCCCCGGGCUCAACCUGGGAACGGCAUCCGGAACUGUCAAGCUAGAGUGCAGGAGAGGAAGGUAGAAUUCCCGGUGUAGCGGUGAAAUGCGUAGAGAUCGGGAGGAAUACCAGUGGCGAAGGCGGCCUUCUGGACUGACACUGACACUGAGGUGCGAAAGCGUGGGUAGCAAACAGGAUUAGAUACCCCAGUAGUC
rnacentral:rRNA from 1 species